rnacentral:rRNA from 1 species
AACGAACGCUGGCGGCGCGUCUUAAGCAUGCAAGUCGAACGGCAAGAUUGGUGCUUGCACUAAUCCUAGAGUGGCGGACUGGUGAGUAACACGUGGGUGACAUACCCUUCAGUUGGGGAUAGCUACUAGAAAUAGUAGAUAAUACCGAAUACGACCAUAGUUGUUAGAGGACUAUGAGGAAAGGACCGAAUGGUUUGCUGAAGGAUUGGCACGCGGCCCAUUAGCUAGUUGGUGUGGUAAAGGCAUACCAAGGCGAUGAUGGGUAUCCGGCCUGAGAGGGUGAUCGGACACAUUGGGACUGAGAUACGGCCCAGACUCCUACGGGAGGCAGCAGCUAAGAAUAUUCCGCAAUGGACGAAAGUCUGACGGAGCGACGCCGCGUGAACGACGAAGGUGGAAACAUUGUAAAGUUCUUUUAAUUGAGAGGAAUAAGCUUUGUAGGAAAUGACAGAGUGGUGACUGUAUCAAUUGAAUAAGCAACGGCUAAUUACGUGCCAGCAGCCGCCGUAACAC